AGUGAACGCUGGCGGCAGGCCUAACACAUGCAAGUCGAACGGUAGCACAGAGGAGCUUGCUCCUUGGGUGACGAGUGGCGGACGGGUGAGGAAUACAUCGGAAUCUACCCUGUCGUGGGGGAUAACGUAGGGAAACUUACGCUAAUACCGCAUACGAACUGAGGUUGAAAGCGGCGGACCGCAAGGCGUCGCGCGAUUGGAUGAGCCGAUGUCCGAUUAGCUAGUUGGCGGGGUAAUGGCCCACCAAGGCGACGAUCGGUAGCUGGUCUGAGAGGAUGAUCAGCCACACUGGAACUGAGACACGGUCCAGACUCCUACGGGAGGCAGCAGUGGGGAAUAUUGGACAAUGGGCGCAAGCCUGAUCCAGCCAUGCCGCGUGUGUGAAGAAGGCCUCGGUGUAAGCACUUUGUUGGG
rnacentral:rRNA from 1 species